UGGGGAAUAUUGCACAAUGGGCGCAAGCCUGAUGCAGCCAUGCCGCGUGUAUGAAGAAGGCCUUCGGGUUGUAAAGUACUUUCAGCGGGGAGGAAGGGAGUAAAGUUAAUACCUUUGCUCAUUGACGUUACCCGCAGAAGAAGCACCGGCUAACUCCGUGCCAACAGCCGCGGUAAUACGGAGGGUGCAAGCGUUAAUCGGAAUUACUGGGCGUAAAGCGCACGCAGGCGGUUUGUUAAGUCAGAUGUGAAAUCCCCGGGCUCAACCUGGGAACUGCAUCUGAUACUGGCAAGCUUGAGUCUCGUAGAGGGGGGUAGAAUUCCAGGUGUAGCGGUGAAAUGCGUAGAGAUCUGGAGGAAUACCGGUGGCGAAGGCGGCCCCCUGGACGAAGACUGACGCUCAGGUGCGAAAGCGUGGGGAGCAAACA
rnacentral:rRNA from 1 species